rnacentral:rRNA from 1 species
CUACGGGAGGCACCAGUGAGGAAUUUUGCGCAAUGGGGGAAACCCUGACGCAGCAACGCCGCGUGAGCGAAGAAGGCCUUCGGGUCGUAAAGCUCUGUCAAGUGGGAAAAAAAUCUUUUAAUCAAUAGUCAAAAGACUUGAUGGUACCACUGGAGGAAGCACCGGCUAACUCCGUGCCAGCAGCCGCGGUAAUACGGAGGGUGCAAGCGUUGUUCGGAUUUACUGGGCGUAAAGAGCGUGUAGGCGGUUUAGCAAGUCAGAUGUGAAAGCCCUGGGCUCAACCCGGGAAGUGCAUUUGAAACUGCUUCACUAGAGUAUGGGAGAGGAGAUUGGAAUUCCUGGUGUAGAGGUGAAAUUCGUAGAUAUCAGGAGGAACACCCGUGGCGAAGGCGAUUCUCUGGACCAAUACUGACGCUGAGACGCGAAAGCGUGGGGAGCAAACAGGAUUAGAUACCCGUGUAGUC